rnacentral:rRNA from 1 species
GACGAACGCUGGCGGCGUGCUUAACACAUGCAAGUCGAACGGAAAGGCCCUGCUUUUGUGGGGUGCUCGAGUGGCGAACGGGUGAGUAACACGUGAGUAACCUGCCCUUGACUUUGGGAUAACUUCAGGAAACUGGGGCUAAUACCGGAUAGGAGCUCCUGCUGCAUGGUGGGGGUUGGAAAGUUUCGGCGGUUGGGGAUGGACUCGCGGCUUAUCAGCUCGUUGGUGGGGUAGUGGCUUACCAAGGCUUUGACGGGUAGCCGGCCUGAGAGGGUGACCGGCCACAUUGGGACUGAGAUACGGCCCAGACUCCUACGGGGGGCAGCAGUGGGGAAUAUUGCACAAUGGGCGGAAGCCUGAUGCAGCAACGCCGCGUGCGGGAUGACGGCCUUCGGGUUGUAAACCGCUUUCGCCUGUGACGAAGCGUGAGUGACGGUAAUGGGUAAAGAAGCACCGGCUAACUACGUGCCAGCAGCCGCGGUGAUACGUAGGGUGCGAGCGUUGUCCGGAUUUAUUGGGCGUAAAGGGCUCGUAGGUGGUUGAUCGCGUCGGAAGUGUAAUCUUGGGGCUUAACCCUGAGCGUGCUUUCGAUACGGGUUGACUUGAGGAAGGUAGGGGAGAAUGGAAUUCCUGGUGGAGCGGUGGAAUGCGCAGAUAUCAGGAGGAACACCAGUGGCGAAGGCGGUUCUCUGGGCCUUUCCUGACGCUGAGGAGCGAAAGCGUGGGGAGCGAACAGGCUUAGGUACCCUGGUAGUCCACGCUGUAAACGGUGGGUACUAGGUGUGGGGUCCAUUCCACGGGUUCCGUGCCGUAGCUAACGCUUUAAGUACCCCGCCUGGGGAGUACGGCCGCAAGGCUAAAACUCAAAGGAAUUGACGGGGCCCCGCACAAGCGGCGGAGCAUGCGGAUUAAUUCGAUGCAACGCGUAGAACCUUACCUGGGUUUGACAUGGAUCGGGAGUGCUCAGAGAUGGGUGUGCCUCUUUUGGGGUCGGUUCACAGGUGGUGCAUGGCUGUCGUCAGCUCAUGUCGUGAGAUGUUGGGUUAAGUCCCGCAACGAGCGCAACCCUUGUUCACUGUUGCCAGCACGUUAUGGUGGGGACUCAGUGGAGACCGCCGGGGUCAACUCGGAGGAAGGUGGGGAUGACGUCAAGUCAUCAUGCCCCUUACGUCCAGGGCUUCACGCAUGCUACAAUGGCUGGUACAGAGAGUGGCGAGCCUGUGAGGGUGAGCGAAUCUCGGAAAGCCGGUCUCAGUUCGGAUUGGGGUCUGCAACUCGACCUCAUGAAGUCGGAGUCGCUAGUAAUCGCAGAUCAGCAACGCUGCGGUGAAUACGUUCCCGGG